UACAGAGGGGGCAAGCGUUAUUCGGAAUUACUGGGCGUAAAGCGUGCGUAGACGGUUGCGUAAGUCAGAUGUGAAAGCCCCGGGCUCAACCUGGGAAUUGCAUUUGAGACUGCGUAGCUAGGGUGCGGAAGAGGGAAGCGGAAUUUCCGGUGUAGCGGUGAAAUGCGUAGAUAUCGGAAGGAACACCAGUGGCGAAAGCGGCUUCCUGGUCCAGCACCGACGUUCAGGCACGAAAGCGUGGGGAGCAAACAGG
rnacentral:rRNA from 1 species